GUCUGCGUAGUAUACUAAUUACACUGGUCUUGUAAACCAGAAAAGGAAAAAUAAAUUCUCCCGUAGACU
rnacentral:tRNA from 1 species